rnacentral:lncRNA from 10 species
AGGAAUCGGAGCAGGAGCUGGAGAUGCAGAUCUAGGAGCCGAGCUGCUCUUUGGAAAAGGGCACUUCAGUGGCCAGCUUGCUGCUUUGGGAGAGGCAGCAGUACAGGCAGAUUCUUCAAACCUUCACCAGGUGACCUCCCGACAGACAUGGAUCUUCACCACCAUCUCUUUCCAGCAUGCCUCACUGUGCUUUGCUACUUCUGGGUGUGUCUGCCUCCAAACCCACUCCUUGUCAAGCUAGGACUUACUUAAGUGGAUCUUUUCUUCUGCUGAUAUAUCCCUCUGGAUGCACCAUAAACACUGACAUUUCUCCAGAGCAGGAUGUUUUCGAAAAAAUAUUCUAGAUGAAUGCCAGGCCAAGCAGCACAAAAUGUCAUGGUGACUUUCCAAAAAGACCUGCCAGGAGCUAGGGUGAGUAAAAAUAGCCACAGCUUGGUGUGGAUGAACAGAAAGUAAAGAUCACAGAAAGAAGAGUUUAUUUGUUUUUAAAAUAAUUAUUUCUAAAUGGUUCUGGGCCUGAAGAAUGCGUCAGACUGGCAGGCAAGGAAGCAGAAGGUCUGCGUCUGACACCAGAGAGAGAAGGCAGAGGAGGGUGACAGAUGGGAAGGUGGGGGGCUGGAGCCUUGGAUUCCAGCCAAGUCAAAUACUACAUACAGCUUGGACUAUCUCUCUAGGAUUGUGAGCCUCAGUUUCUCUACCUGGAGUAGAGAAAAAGAAGAAAAAAUGUAGUUAGGGAAUGUUAUGCACAUGACUACAAACAGAAUGAAAAAGAAGCACUGAGAGACAAAGGCAGAUAGAGAAAUGGACAAAAAUGACUAGUGUUCUGUUAUGGAAAAAAUAAGAAACAUGGACAUUUCCAGGUUGCCCUAGCUCUGCUCUUCAUAGCUGUUCGGGUCCUAUUACUUUACCACCAUAAGAUAUCACAAGAGGCCAGGCAGGAUGUCCCACACCUGUAAUCUCAGCACUUUGGGAGGCUGAGGCGGGCAGAUCACGAGGUCAAGAUUUCAGGACCAUCCUGGCCAAUAUGGUGAAACCCCGUCUCUACUAAAAAUACAAAAAAAAAAAAAAUUGGCUGGGCGUGGUGGUGCACAUCUGUAGUCCCAGCUACUUAGGAGGCUGAGUCAGGAGAAUCACUUGAACCCGGAGGUGGAGGUUGCAGUGAGCCGAGAUUGCGUCACUGCACUCCAACCUGGUGACAGAGAGAGACUCCAUCUCAAAAACAAACAAACAAACAAACAAACAAACAAACAAAAAAAAACGAUAUCACAAGAGGUAUCCUGGAUGAGCAGAUAGAGUUGGAAUUACAGAACUCUUGGAGCCAGCCCUGGAGUCAUCACUUGCCAGAAACCCCCUGGGUGGGUUUCUUAACUUCUCUAAGCUUAGGUGGCCUUCAUCUGUAAAAUGGGAGACUUCCCACCCUCAGGCUUGUUGUAAGGGAUCAAUGAAUAAUAAAAGCAAGCAAUCGCCCAAGUCUCUGUUGCUUGGCAGGCACUAAAUAAAUGUCCAAAUAAAAAAUUCGACCAAUGAACUACCAGUGCCAGAGGCCCCAACUUCUCUGGGCUCUCAUUUUUGGGAAAGAAAAUCCUGCUUCUCAUUUAAACUGAUAACUGAGUUAAGUGGUUGUGUUCUCUUAAUUUUGUUAAAUGUGUAAACAAUGACUAGUCUGGCAAUGUUCGGUUCAGGUUGACAGCAUGGUCAGUAUGUGUGCAGCUGUAUUUUGGAAGAAAGAAAGCAGACAUUUUAUUGAACAUACGCUAUUUGCCAGGCCCUGAUUAGACAUUUUUAUAUAGGUUAUUCCAUUUAAUUCUUAGAACUAUCCUAUAACAUGAGAAUAUCUACCUUCCUUCCAUCUUUCUUUAAACAAGUAAUGUACCUAGAUAUGAGAAAGGUAAAUAAACUUGUCUAAAGACACAUAGCUUAGUUGCCAUUUUGCCUCCAGACUGUCUGACAGCAAAACCCAAGUUAUUUCCUCUCAAAGAAUAUUGCCUCCAUGAAACUAGACUUAAUAUAUGAUUGAAAGGUAGAAUUUAGCCAUAUUUUGCACUCAGCUUCCAAUCUGCCAUUCUUUCUCUCUCAGUGAGUGUCUGUGUGUGUGUGUGUCUUUUUUUAAAAAAACUGUAGUUUGUUUUUCCCAUGGAAAAUCUUGACUCAAUCCUAAA